rnacentral:rRNA from 1 species
AGCGUAUAUUAAAGUUGUUGCAGUUAAAAAGCUCGUAGUUGAAUUUCGGGGUUAGUAAGUUGGUCAUGCCUUUGGUAUGCACUGGCUUUACUGAUUCCUCCUUCUUGACGAACCGUGAUGUCAUUAAUUUGGUGUUGCGGGAAAUCAGGACUGUUACUUUGAAAAAAUUAGAGUGUUUAAAGCAGGCUAACGCUUGAAUACAUUAGCAUGGAAUAAUGAAAUAGGACGUUAAUCCUAUUUUGUUGGUUUCUAGGAUCGACGUAAUGAUUAAUAGGGAUAGUUGGGGGCAUUAGUAUUCAAUUGUCAGAGGUGAAAUUCUUGGAUUUAUUGAAGACUAACUACUGCGAAAGCAUUUGCCAAGGAUGUUUUCAUUAAUCAAGAACGAAAGUUAGGGGAUCGAAGACGAUCAGAUACCGUCGUAGUCUUAACCAUAAACUAUGCCGACUAGGGAUCGGAUGAUGUUAUUUUUAAUGACUCAUUC